rnacentral:rRNA from 1 species
UACAGAGGGUGCGAGCGUUAAUCGGAAUUACUGGGCGUAAAGCGCACGUAGGUGGCGACGUAAGUCGGGUGUGAAAGCCCCGGGCUCAACCUGGGAAUUGCAUUCGAGACUGCAUUGCUGGAGUACGGAAGAGGAGGGCGGAAUUCCCGGUGUAGCGGUGAAAUGCGUAGAUAUCUGGAGGAACACCGGUGGCGAAGGCGGCAUCCUGGACCAACACUGACGCUGAGUGAGCGAAAGCCAGGGGAGCAAACGGG